rnacentral:misc_RNA from 1 species
GUGAAUCAUCGAAUCUUUGAACGCAAAUUGCACGCUCCGGUUUUCUGGGAGAGUAGGCCUGCUUGAGGGUCAUUCUAUAAAAAAUCGACAUCUUUGCUGUUUCGCCGUGGCGUUCGUCGGAAAUUAAGUCAUCUUAAGUCCUUUUGAUUUAAGCGACUUAAAAUUUUCUUUUAGUUCCAUAAUCGUUUCUAAGAUCUAUUUCUUUACACGUCUAAGGUAUCGAUUUUUACUAGCCGUUACGAUCAUAUAGGAUCGCGUCCUUAAUCUUUCAUUAACUGA